GACGAACGCUGGCGGCGUGCUUAACACAUGCCAGUCGAACGGAAAGGCCCAGCUUGCUGGGUGCUCGAGUGGCGAACGGGUGAGUAACACGUGGGUGAUCUGCCUCUAACUUCGGGAUAAGCUUGGGAAACUGGGUCUAAUACCGGAUAGGACAAUCGUUUAGUGUCGGUUGUGGAAAGUUUUUUCGGUUAGGGAUGAGCCCGCGGCCUAUCAGCUUGUUGGUGGGGUAAUGGCCUACCAAGGCGUCGACGGGUAGCCGGCCUGAGAGGGUGGACGGCCACACGGGAACUGAGAGAGGGGACAGAGUCAUGAGGGAGGCAGCAGGGGGGAAGAGUGAGCGAGGGGCGCGAGGGUGAUGGAGGAAGGCCGCGGGAAUGAAGAAGGUCUUAGGAGGGGAAAAUUCUGUGAGCAGGGAAGAAGAAAGGGAAGCGAAACGAUGCAACCAUCGACGGGACCUUAAGAGAAAGCAACGGCUAACUCCGUG
rnacentral:rRNA from 1 species